rnacentral:rRNA from 1 species
CAAUAGCGUAUAUUUAAGUUGUUGCAGUUAAAAAGCUCGUAGUUGGAUUUCGGAUGGGAUUUGCCGGUCCGUCGUUACGAUGUGCACUGGCCAGUCCUAUCUUGUUGUCGGGGACUAGCUCCUUGGAUUCACUUCCAGGGACUAGGAGCUGACGAGGUUACUUUGAGUAAAUUAGAGUGUUCAAAGCAAGCCUACGCUCUGAAUACAUUAGCAUGGAAUAACACGAUAGGACUCUGGCUUAUCUUGUUGGUCUGUGAGACCAGAGUAAUGAUUAAGAGGGACAGUCGGGGACAUUCGUAUUUCAUUGUCAGAGGUGAAAUUCUUGGAUUUAUGAAAGACGAACUUCUGCGAAAGCAUUUGUCAAGGAUGUUUUCAUUAA